AUUUUUUUUUUUUUAAAAAAACAAAUUUAAUUAAAAUAACUCUAAUUCCCCUCUUUCACCUUCACUUCCCUUUAACAGAGCUGCGACGAGAGAGGAGCAAGAGGGAACUCCGCAACGCAUCUUCCGUCAAUCCGUCGUUGGGAAUUUGGUCCUCCACAAUCGAUUAGUUGCUAUCGGAGGGCCACCGGAGUGCCGCUUCUUCUGACGCCGGUGUGCCGCUUUCCCUGACUCCGAUGUGCGAGUUCACUAGCGCUGAAGCUUCGACUGCCCUGACGUCGGACUGAUUUCGCACUUGCCGCCUGUUUGAGGUUCUUAUGACAUUAGGUAAACGACGAGUUUUGGUACGGGGGGUCACUGGCUAUAGGAAGGAACUUUUCCCAUCGUCACAAACGCAAAACAGCCAGGGUAGUCAUGUUCCAGAGACACCAAUAGAUGACAGUCAUGUUUCAGAGACACCGAUACCAAAGACCCCAGUAGAUGACUCUGAGACAUAGUAUUUUGGAUCCCCUCUAAUUAAUGCUAGUACACCAGCUACCCAGAAUACGUCUACACCUGUUGUUGAGCCUGGUGAGAGUUCUUUCCAAGGGCUGAGACGGACUUUACACCCUGACGGGUUAUGGUUCCAUAACCAUAAAGUGUCCAAUGCAAUCACAGACAUCAUCCAGGCUCACUUUCGCAAACCUUGGAUUAACUACAAGAAGGUCGACAAUGGCACUAGGACUCAUUGGUGGAACCAGUUUAAGGAUCGGUUCAUUUGGCCUCCAGACUUGCAGAGUGUUGUUGAAAUAGAGUACAAGAAGAAGGCUGCAAAACAUUUGAGCGACUUGUCCUACAAUUAUAGUGUUAGAAAUCCAGAACGUCCAUUCUGGAUGGGAGAAACUGUCUUUGCAGAAUUAUUGGCUCUUCGGAAGGAUGAUAAGUUCUUAAAGAAGUCUGAACAAGCUAAAAAGAACUGAAGAGGCGGUACCCUAUCUAAUCCUAUUGAACCGUCACACUUCCAGGCAAAGGAUCUGGUGGAGUUCUCCCGUCCGCCCCUGAGGUGUUCUUAAAGACCCAUUUCAAGGACGUUCCCGGUAAAGGAAAAGUGCCAGCCAAUAAGAGGGCUAGAGAGAUCGCAAUAAUAUCCAAUAAUUGUUAUUCAAUUUAUUAUCUGAAUUAUAUGCAUAAUAAUAACCAUUUUGAGUAAGUUUUAUGCAACUUUAACUAGAAUUAGUAGAAAUGUUAGAAAUGUGAUCUAAAUGUGGUUAUUUCCAGUGUUACAAACUUCAGUGCAUGCAUAAAACAGAUGGUAAAACAUA